rnacentral:rRNA from 1 species
UACGUAGGUGGCAAGCGUUUGUCCGGAUUUACUGGGCGUAAAGAGCGCGCAGGCGGUCGUUCAAGUCGCGUGUGAAAGCCCCCGGCUCAACUGGGGAGGGUCACGCGAUACUGAUCGACUCGAAGGCAGGAGAGGGAAGUGGAAUUCCCGGUGUAGUGGUGAAAUGCGUAGAUAUCGGGAGGAACACCAGUGGCGAAGGCGACUUCCUGGCCUGUUCUUGACGCUGAGGCGCGAAAGCUAGGGGAGCAAAGCGGG